UGCCUAGCAACUUCAUCCCUACCUCCUCGUGGUAAUGGCCGGAGUACGAGUAACCUUGGGGAAGAUCGGGUGACCAACCCCAGUGGGAACUUUGGUCGUAUGCUGAAAGGAAAGG
rnacentral:ribozyme from 1 species